AAUAGCAGUCGCUGCGACCGAAGCGCAGCCACCCGCUACAGGGCGCGCCCAGGAGCGCCGAGCGCGCGCCCGUGCGAUGGCACGCAGCUGCAGGCCGCGAGCAGCAGCACGUGAAGAGGGGUUCAUUUUGCAGNNNNGSGCGACCCACAGCCAGAUGCCGGGCCCACGCCACAGACAGCGCAGCGCGCCAUUUUGCCGUGCGCUGUUUGGGGGCCAGCGGGCCGGCCGACGAGCCGCCAUGCGCGUUCCAUAGUCNGGCGUGUGCACGGCGCACGCGCGAGAGAGAGCGGGGAGAGCCCCCCACACGCCUCACACAGCGCGCGCGCGCGCCCCUACGCAGCUCCGGCAGCGUUCGCGCGCGGUGCCAUGUACCUCCAAUGCCUGGAUCGCGGCAGGGGCCAGGACCGGGCGACAACCAAUUAUUUCAUGCCUAAGUGGAAGCUGUCCGGACGAUUGCAGAGCGCGCGCGCACACAGG
rnacentral:rRNA from 1 species